CCAGCAGCCGCGGUAAUUCCAGCUCCAAUAGCGUAUAUUAAAGUUGUUGCAGUUAAAAAGCUCGUAGUUGGAUUUCUGGGAGGGUGCCGAUGUCCUCUUAACGUGUGUGCAGCGGCGCCCUUUCAUCCUUCUGUUAGCGCCUCUUGGCAUUCACUUGCUGGUGGCGGGCUCAGAUAUUUUACCUUGAGAAAAUUAGAGUGUUUCAGGCAGGCUAGGCCGGAAUACAUUAGCAUGGAAUAAUGGAAUAGGACUACGGUCUCUUUGUUGGUUUGAGGGACUGCAGUAAUGAUUAAUAGGGAUAGUUGGGGGCAUUAGUACUUAACUGUCAGAGGUGGAAUUCUCAGAUUUGUUAAAGACUGACUUAUGCGAAAGCAUUUGCCAAGGAUGUUUUCAUUAAUCAAGAACGAAAGU
rnacentral:rRNA from 1 species